GCUCUCCUAGCUCAACUGGAUAGAGCGCCAGCCUACGAAGCUGGGUCACCGUGGGGGUUCGAGUCCCUCGGAGAGCG
rnacentral:tRNA from 1 species